rnacentral:misc_RNA from 1 species
UGCUAGGCGCGUGCCGGCGC